UCUCAGAGGGGAGUGAGGAAAGCCAGCAGGCUUUACUUGUUUGCUCUCAGGCCCUGCAAGCUGGGAAUUAUAGCUACCCUUUUCACACUUUCUCCCCUCCAUCUCCGUCCCAACUCAAUCCCACUUCAAGGUCCGUCCGGGGAGAAGCAAGCUAAGAAGGCACUGCUAGGGUUUGCUACGUCUGGGGAGCUGGGAUGGGGUUUUCCAGUUGAGUGGGUAGUGUGCUUGCACCAUCAAAAGUGGCUCCUUUGCGUAAUAUAUUAAUGCCUGUGUUGUUUACUUUUGAGAAAGGAAAUCCUCUCCUCCAAGGGGGCUAUAAAUCCUCUACAACUCUAACCUUGGCUUCUCAUCACUUCUCUUUCCCUUUACCUCUCUCUCUCUCUCUCUCUCUCUCUCUCUCUCUCUUCAGGAACUAGAUCUUGUAAGGGUUUGUAGAUCAAGUGGUCUUUCUUUUUCUCCAUGGAGGAGAGUCUUGUGGAGCUCAAUCGUCAAGAGAGGAAGAGAUGUGAAGUGGCCCUUUUCACUCCCUUCCUCCGGGUAAGGGAGUGAGUUUCCUGCUUCCCAAUAGAGAACCAGAGGUGAUGGUGGGGAGAAUACAGGAAUCAAGGGGCCUGUGUCCAAACUCUUGUGGGAGAGAGAGAGAGAGAGAGAGAGAGAGAGAGAGAGAGAGAGAGAGAGAGAGAGGUUUCAGAUAACUAUGAUCCUUUGUCUUUUAUUUGAUUCCUUUACUUGUGAGCGAUAUUUUUAUGAUGACCACCCAAUUUCCUCGUGGUGUUUUGUUUAUUACUACAAAUCACCAGUGAUACAGAAGUGGAAUAUAGCUUUUGCAUUGAUAUAUAUGUGGAUGAGACCGAAGAUUCUACGACAUGAACAUGGAUCCAGCUUGUGUAUCAUCACAGUAAGAUCGUCAUCAUCAUCAUCAUCAUAUGUUUGCCUAUACAUUCAACCUGUGUUACAGGCUAACGUGUUGUUGUUCUAUGGCAAAGUUUUAUGAUUCUUUCAUCUCUUGAUAUCCAUAAAUAAAUGGCAAAGAUACUGUUCUUGA